rnacentral:rRNA from 1 species
GACGUAGGGCGCAAGCGUUGUCCGGAAUUAUUGGGCGUAAAGAGCUCGUAGGCGGCUUGUUGCGUCGACUGUGAAAAACCACGACUCAACCGUGGGACUGCAGUCGAUACGGGCAGGCUAGAGUUCGGUAGGGGAGACUGGAAUUCCUGGUGUAGCGGUGAAAUGCGCAGAUAUCAGGAGGAACACCGGUGGCGAAGGCGGGUCUCUGGGCAAUAACUGACGCUGAGGAGCGAAAGCGUGGGGAGCGAACAGG